UCUAGCAGUGAUGACACUCUUGCCCUCACUGAGAACACUGUUCAGUAAUGAGACUUCUGCUAUGUACUCAGAUGUGCUGAGCUAGA